CCAAAUUAAAUAAACAUCUUGUUCUGACUGGUUGAAACAAAUUUGCUAGAAAUUUAAUAUCAAUUCGCCUUGGCAUUCUUACGAUUUUUGUUUGUUUUGGAACAUAUGAGUUUUUACACUUACCCAACAUUCAAAUCGCUUCCACGCAUUUCGCGUACCAUGCCAGUCUGAGCAAAUUUUGCGGAUUCCAACUUCUCGGCAACGCUAAAACCUCUGAUACCUUCCAAAUCAUCGUCACCUACAGUCCAUUCUUCCAAAUAUUGUUUUCGCUCCUUGCGUUCACGCUUAAAAGAAAUAAAUAAUAACAUUCAAUAAAAUAUACGUAUACGCAAGUGAAUACCUCUUCAUGUUUAAAAUAUGCUGUAGAGCUGUUAUUUAGUCAACAAGCAAACUAAAGAACAGAGCUUUACAUAUGUAGUUCGUUCUUCUCCAAUUCGUAUCGUGUCUGUCCAUUGAUGCUUUUAUCCUUUAAGUGGAAUGAAUUUAAAAAUAAACUCGUUUUGCAACUUGUUUCGCAUCCAUCCCGUAUGACAUACAAUGCAGGUAAAGCGAAAAACUUUCAGCUUGAUGUUAUAAGAACUUAUCCACUCACAUCUUCUUUGGGCAUGCAACAUGUUUUCAGCGUCAGCAUAAAAAGGGAAUACAUAAUAAAGAAAAUGAAAAUAUAUUCUGUUCUGGUCGAUCUCUAUUGCAGCAAUAUUAUCUUUAAUGAUUCCAAAGAUGGUACAAAAUACAGGAUGACGCCUUCAACUAAAAGUAAAGCUUUACGCAAAGCUAAAUAUCCAUCUCACACAUUCUAGAUCAUACAAAGGAAAAUUUUUCAUCUCAUAAGAUCAUUUAGAUGAAAAAUUUC